AAUUAAAUCCUGCUGUAAUGUGAUCGCGCUUCCUAUUGGCUGCGCUGGUGGCGCUAUAGCGCACGGAGUUCGAAUGAACUGCAGCAGAGCUAGAGGGAACUGCUGUGGAUGGAGCUGUAUUAGCGUGACUCACAAUUCUCUUCUUUCCACUGCUCUGUGUGCAGGGAAAUAAAGUAAAAUAUCAUCCAC